rnacentral:sRNA from 1 species
UUAUCUUCCUGCCUGUCCCUCUCCCCAGCCUGCCGCUGCACUGUGCAUGGCCGCUGUGAUGAGGGCCUUGGGGGCUCUGGCUCCUGCUUCUGUGAUGAAGGCUGGACUGGGCCACGCUGUGAGGUGCAACUGGGUGAGUAGCCCCGUGCUCGUGCCCACCCUACACACUUGUGUACAUGUGCACACAUCAGUAAAGGCACCAAGGGUGGGUGGAACGGGCAGAGGCCAGGAAGGCAACUACUAACCUGGUUCUGGGGGCUGGGCCCUGGGGGACAGAGCUGCAGCCUGUGUGUACCCCACCCUGUGCACCCGAGGCUGUGUGCCGUGCAGGCAACAGCUGUGAGUGCAGCCUGGGCUAUGAAGGGGAUGGCCGCGUGUGUACAGGUAAGCAGAUGGGCGGGGACAUGGAGGUGGGAGGCCCCCACUCCCCUGCAGUCACUAGGUCCAACCACUCCCUCCCUGCCCUCAGUGGCAGACCUGUGCCAGGACGGGCAUGGUGGCUGCAGUGAGCACGCCAACUGUAGCCAGGUAGGAACAGUGGUCACUUGUACCUGCCUGCCCGACUACGAGGGUGAUGGCUGGAGCUGCCGGGCCCGCAACCCCUGCACAGAUGGCCACCGCGGGGGCUGCAGCGAGCACGCCAACUGCUUGAGCACCGGCCUGGUGAGCAGGUGGGGGAACCGAGUAGCCAGGGUGGGGAGGCCUGGCAGAACUUCCGACCUCUGAAGGGUGAAGGGCGCCCACUGCUCUCUCCAACCCCAGAACACACGGCGCUGUGAGUGCCACGCAGGCUACGUAGGCGAUGGACUGCAGUGUCUGGAGGAGUCGGAACCACCUGUGGACCGCUGCUUGGGCCAGCCACCGCCCUGCCACUCAGAUGCCGUGUGCACUGACCUGCACUUCCAGGGUGUGUCCCCCUGCCCACUCCCAGUACCCAUUUCAUUCCUCAGAGCCGGCCAGCUGACCAUGCACCCCUCCAUUCUGCAGAGAAACGGGCUGGCGUCUUCCACCUCCAGGCCACCAGCGGCCCUUAUGGUCUGAACUUUUCGGAGGCUGAGGCGGCAUGCGAAGCACAGGGAGCCGUCCUUGCUUCAUUCCCUCAGCUCUCUGCUGCCCAGCAGCUGGGCUUCCACCUGUGCCUCAUGGGCUGGCUGGCCAAUGGCUCCACUGCCCACCCUGUGGUUUUCCCUGUGGCGGACUGUGGCAAUGGUCGGGUGGGCAUAGUCAGCCUGGGUGCCCGCAAGAACCUCUCAGAACGCUGGGAUGCCUACUGCUUCCGUGUGCAAGAUGUGGCCUGCCGAUGCCGAGAUGGCUUCGUGGGUGACGGGAUCAGCACGUGCAAUGGGAAGCUGCUGGAUGUGCUGGCUGCCACUGCCAACUUCUCCACCUUCUAUGGGAUGCUAUUGGGCUAUGCCAAUGCCACCCAGCGGGGUCUCGACUUCCUGGACUUCCUGGAUGAUGAGCUCACGUAUAAGACACUCUUCGUCCCUGUCAAUGAA